UACGGAGGGAGCUAGCGUUGUUCGGAAUUACUGGGCGUAAAGCGCGCGUAGGCGGUUACUCAAGUCAGAGGUGAAAGCCCGGGGCUCAACCCCGGAACUGCCUUUGAAACUAGGUGACUAGAAUCUUGGAGAGGUCAGUGGAAUUCCGAGUGUAGAGGUGAAAUUCGUAGAUAUUCGGAAGAACACCAGUGGCGAAGGCGACUGACUGGACAAGUAUUGACGCUGAGGUGCGAAAGCGUGGGGAGCGAACAGG
rnacentral:rRNA from 1 species